GACGUAGGGCGCGAGCGUUGUCCGGAUUUAUUGGGCGUAAAGAGCUCGUAGGCGGUGUGUCGCGUCGGCCGUGAAAACCUGCAGCUUAACUGUGGGCUUGCGGUCGAUACGGGCAUCACUGGAGUUCGGCAGGGGAGACUGGAAUUCCUGGUGUAGCGGUGAAAUGCGCAGAUAUCAGGAGGAACACCGGUGGCGAAGGCGGCCACCUGGACGGCAACUGACGCUGAGACGCGAAAGCGUGGGGAGCAAACAGG
rnacentral:rRNA from 1 species